rnacentral:rRNA from 1 species
GACGAACGCUGGCGGCGUGCCUAAUACAUGCAAGUUGAGCGAUGAAGAUUGGUGCUUGCACCAAUUUGAAGAGCAGCGAACGGGUGAGUAACGCGUGGGGAAUCUGCCUUUGAGCGGGGGACAACAUUUGGAAACGAAUGCUAAUACCGCAUAACAACUUUAAACAUAAGUUUUAAGUUUGAAAGAUGCAAUAGCAUCACUCAAAGAUGAUCCCGCGUUGUAUUAGCUAGUUGGUGAGGUAAAGGCUCACCAAGGCGAUGAUACAUAGCCGACCUGAGAGGGUGAUCGGCCACAUUGGGACUGAGACACGGCCCAAACUCCUACGGGAGGCAGCAGUAGGGAAUCUUCGGCAAUGGACGAAAGUCUGACCGAGCAACGCCGCGUGAGUGAAGAAGGUUUUCGGAUCGUAAAACUCUGUUGGUAGAGAAGAACGUUGGUGAGAGUGGAAAGCUCAUCAAGUGACGGUAACUACCCAGAAAGGGACGGCUAACUACGUG